UCGGUCCCUAUCUGCCGUGGGCGCUGGAGAACUGAGGGGGGCUGCUCCUAGUACGAGAGGACCGGAGUGGACGCAUCACUGGUGUUCGGGUUGUCAUGCCAAUGGCACUGUCCGGUAGCUAAAUGCGGAAGAGAUAAGUGCUGAAAGCAUCUAAGCACGAAACUUGCCCCGAGAUGAGUUCUCCCUGACUCCUUGAGAGUCCUGAAGGAACGUUGAAGACGACGACGUUGAUAGGCCGGGUGUGUAAGCGCAGCGAUGCGUUGAGCUAACCGGUACUAAUGAACCGUGAGGCUUAACCUU
rnacentral:rRNA from 1 species